rnacentral:rRNA from 1 species
UACGUAGGGUGCGAGCGUUGUUCGGAAUUAUUGGGCGUAAAGGGUUCGUAGGAGGUUUCUUAAGAUUGGUGUGAAAUCCCAAGGCUCAACCUUGGAACUGCAUUGAUUACUGAGAAACUAGAGUAUCGUAGAGGAGAGCGGAAUUCCAGGUGUAGCGGUGGAAUGCGUAGAUAUCUGGAAGAACACCGACAGCGAAGGCAGCUCUCUGGGCGAAAACUGACUCUGAGGAACGAAAGCGUGGGUAGCAAACAGGAUUAGAAACCCUAGUAGU